AGUCGAACGUGAAAGCACUUCGGUGUGAGUAGAGUGGCGGACGGGUGAGUAACGCGUGGGAAUCUGCCCAGUAGUGGGGGACAACUACCGGAAACGGUAGCUAAUACCGCAUACGCCCUAUGGGGGAAAGGCUUCGGCCGCUAUUGGAUGAGCCCGCGUCAGAUUAGCUAGUUGGUAGGGUAGAGGCCUACCAAGGCAACGAUCUGUAGCUGGUCUGAGAGGACGAACAGCCACACUGGGACUGAGACACGGCCCAGACUCCUACGGGAGGCAGCAGUGGGGAAUAUUGGACAAUGGGCGAAAGCCUGAUCCAGCAAUGCCGCGUGUGUGAAGAAGGCCUGCGGGUUGUAAAGCACUUUCAGUUGGGAAGAUGAUGACGUUACCAACAGAAGAAGCACCGGCUAAAUCCGUGCCAGCAGCCGCGGUAAUACGGAUGGUGCGAGCGUUAAUCGGAAUUACUGGGCGUAAAGCGCGCGUAGGCGGCUAAGUCAGUCAGAAGUGAAAGCCCCGGGCUCAACCUGGGAAUUGCUUUUGAUACUGCUUGGCUAGAGUUUGGUAGAGGAUAGUGGAAUUCCAGGUGUAGCGGUGAAAUGCGCAGAUAUCUGGAGGAACAUCAGUGGCGAAGGCGACUGUCUGGACCAAAACUGACGCUGAGGUGCGAAAGCGUGGGUAGCAAACAGGAUUAGAUACCCUGGUAGAAGGGC
rnacentral:rRNA from 1 species